UGGUUACAUUUAUUUGCUCUUUGACUAAAAUGUUUAGCUGUAUUAUUGCUAAACAUGCCGUUUUUGAGAAUUUGAUUUUCAACUAGGUUGAGGCAUCCAACCACGCCAUCAAUCCCAGUAAAAACAUUAGGUCACAUCAGCUAGUUUCCUAUCCAUUUAUUUUAUUAUCCAUGAUCCCAUGCGGGCGGGGACGAGAAACAUGAUAUCAAUUUUCAUUGGCCUAAUAUAGCGGACUGUCAUGAAUAGCCAACACUGACUGGUCCAAUUUAAAAUUUGCAUUAUAACGACUGCAUGGCAUGACGACAGCGAAAUAGCAAAUAUUUCUUAUUUUCUUGAUUUGAUGAUUUCUUGCAAAUAUAUUUUAUUUUUGCAAGAUUUUGUAAAUUUCAAAAGCUUUUUGACAAAAUAAAGGCGAAAGAAUUGCUAAAAUAAGGGAGAAAAGGCGCCGACGUUAACGAAGGUAAGUUUGUUUUAAAAAUUGUUUGCAUUGUUUGCUUUUAAUAUACUGUAAUUACUCGCUGGGGCACUGUGCCCCGGACGAGUAUAGGUUUCGGCAUUCAUUUUUAGCGCAAAAUAGAAUAUUAAUGAGCUGCCUAAUUUCCCCCCAAUUAUCCAUAAGGCUCCUGCCAAUUUUACCCAAAUUAUCCAUAAAUAGCCCUCCAUUUUGAGGAAAUUUCGGGAAAAUUGAACAAUUUACAAGGAAUUUCGCAUGGAAACAGCAACCUUCGCAAAUCGCAAGUUUAUAAAAGUUUAUACGUUUGACUGCGCUGCUUUAUAUUUUGAGAAGAAAGCUACACCGUUCGAUUCAGUGUAAGAACUUGUACUAACAGAUGUCAAGUGUACUACUAAACACCCGUAUUCUAGCGAUUUAUGGCCUUUGAAAAUGAAGCGAAAUUGUAUUGUUGAAAAAUCGCUCGCAGUACGUAUUGUUGAUCACAAAUCACUCGCACUACGUUUGUCCACAGGUUUGUUCUUGUAUUUGUAAUGCCUAAUGGCGCAAUAAGGAUAAAAAUACCACCGUUCGAUUCAGCGUAAGAAAUUGUACUUACGGAUGUCAAAUGUGUUACUAAGCACCAGUAUUCUAUCCUUUGAAUUGAAAAUCAAGCGAAAUUGUAUUUGUUGACAAAUCGCUCGCAGUACGUUUCAUAGUGUAUUUGUAAUGCCUAAGGGAAAGUACAUUUAUUAUGCCGAGGGGGGGGGAUGAAGAUGUUAAGGGGGGCUCCGAAAUAUUUUCUGGCAUUAAAGGGGGGGCUCUGAAAGUUCUUGAUAUACUGAAGGGGGGGCUCUAAACUUUUCAAAGGUUUGACCCAUAGAUAUCUCAUAUACACUAGAUAGCGCAUCCCACCCUGUAGGCAGGCGAAAAUUGAAGCCUGAUCGCAGUCGCAGUUUACGCGCGGCGGCCAUAUUGGUCGUUCCCACGGAGCGUGAUAAUUUGUAUAUUUUGUAUUGCGGAAAUGGACAAAGGUGACAAUAAAUCCUCUUUUAUGCAGUCAAUUUUGGUUUUUCAAGUGUGCAACUUGUUGUAAAUGAUGCCAGAUCGUUGGAGCUUCAUAUUGUGAAUAACGGGUAGGCAGAAUUUAAUUUUUUAUUUCGAAAAUAUCAAUAUUUGUCGACCCGUAUGAAGGGCGCCCAUAGGACAAACCUUAUGAACAAACCAUCAUUGUUGAUGUAUAUAUAAAUAUAGUUCCACCAAUUCCAAAUAAAACAUUUUGAGCCAUCGCCAUUGCUUCAUGGCAAAAUUGUGAAUGUAUUUGCAUAUUCUUUUGUAAAAGACAGCGACACUGAAAAACAUAUUUUAGUCACAGUUUAUCAAUGGCAAAAAUAGACUUAAGGAGGCUCCCUACAGUUCCGUGCGGGAUGUUCGCGCGACAAGUACGUGAACUAUCCCACGCAACUGCAUGAUCAAAACAAAACAAAAAUUGACCAUGCUUUUUUUAAAAAUAAAGCUAUUUCUGAAAGGUUUCUAAUGGAAAAAAGAGUUGAAUAAUACUUCGUUUUGAGUGCCAAAUCACUUGCGAGUCUAUACAGCAAUUUACAUAUGAUACGAAUAUCACUAGACCAAAAAAUAGCUACGAAACAAUAUUUUUAAUUUUUUUUAUACACUGUCAACUGACUCAACUGUAAAACAUUUGCAAAAUUGCAUACAAACGUUUAAAAAGUUGUUUACUUCUCAAGAAAACGUUCACGUUUUUAGUUGUGUUUCUACAAGAUUAAAGUGAUUAUAUGUAAACAGAAAAAUAUUUCAGUUUCAUAGCCUAAUUGUUCAUUUUUAAUAGCAAAAAGUACAAAACCGAACAUGAAACAAAAAAACACGUCCACCUGUUAAUAGGCUGUUACAGCUCAUAGAUUGAGUAAACGACAGGAUUCAAUUAGCUUCAACCUUGUUUUCAUCGAUUUAAUCCUUCACAAUAAUCCUUGGCUGUCCAUAGCACUCAAAUAAAUCGAAAAGUUGACAAAAACAAAACAGUAAAAACAACAUUGCGGCUCGAUUUUGCUGAAUGAAAACUCGUUCUGCGCCCGCGUACAAUCUUUUACUAGUCAGCGACGCUUUUCAAUAGGGGAAUUUCUCGAGUUACACGAGGCUAUUUUCAAACUUUAUUUGCAUUUUACUCAUUAGUUUCAUCGCUGACCUAUCUUCAAAUUUUGACCACGAAUUUAUUUUGCGGUAAAUUUUAUAAAUUUCAAAUUUUAAAAAAAUCUGUAGUGUGGAAAUUUCGCAAUAAAUUUUUCGCUUUUAAAAAAAUCACACACUACAGAAUUUUUUUAAACUUUCACCACAGUUGCAGAGCAUCAUUCCUUAUUGAUAUAUGAAAUAAAAAAGAUAGGUCACCAACAUCGUUUUUGAGAUAGCGGCACAUUUAAGGGUUAAAUUGGAAGGCUUUAUGCUGUCGUCAUGUUGCCAUGGGAACAUUGACAUCGUCGAAAUCUAGUUCCAAAUAUUCCUUUGGUGACCAAUAUUGCCACCAAGUCGAAAAGAAUUCGCGUUCUGCACGAAUAAGCCUGUUUUACGGAAUUAUUGCUUAAACAAGAAUAACUGUAGGGAGCCACCUUAAAAUCUUAAAUAGUCAAUAUAUAAAACAUUGAACCAAAAAUGGUUCUUACUCCUUACUAUUUGUAUAUUUAUUACAUACAUACAUGCAACAUAUCAUAUAUUAUUUUAUAGUUCCAUGGAAUCACAUCAAGAUUAAAAUGUGUUAGAAGAUAGAGAAGAAUAAUUGCAACUUUAAUAGUAUAUUCGCAGGCAAUAUAACAUAAUUGAUAUUGCUUUAUGUAAAUGUAGUUGAUAAUCAAACUUUCUAAAACCUUCAAUUGUAUGAAUGCUUCAAACUAUCUUUAAUAUUUGAUGUUAAGAAAUAUUUCUUUCUGUUGAGUCCUAGACCUUUUGUUUUUAAUUCAAGCAAUCAAACUGCCAAAUUACUGUAAUUAUUAACAGCUAGCAUAGGUCAUUGAUAAUCAGCUGAAUUUUAGAACUGCUUUGGGAAACCCUAUUUUGUAAUGAGACACAUUACUUCUUGCAUUAUUGUAUAUUGUAAGGUCAAUGGGAUAAACUGCUUGAUGCACAGUAGAUUUUAUAAUCUUAAAUAUAGUUGCACUCACUAUUGUAUAAAUAAUUCUAUUGUUAUAAUAAAGUAUUACUUUUGACUUUGU